rnacentral:rRNA from 1 species
AACGAACGCUGGCGGCAUGCCUAACACAUGCAAGUCGAACGAAACCUUCCGGUCGAUUGCCUCACUCGUUCUUAAUGCGUGGGAACCGGCUCUUACGUUCUGAACAAGUCCCCGAGAGGGGGGCUAAUACCGGAUAAUGUCGUCGGACCAACGAUUUAUCUCCUUUGGGUGGGCCCGCGUUGUAUUAGCUAGUUGGUAGGGUAAAAGCCUACCAAGGCGACGAUCCAUAGCUGGUCUGAGAGGAUGAUCCGGAACACUGCGACUGAGACACGGCCCAGACUCCUCGGGGUGGAAGAAGUGGGGACUAUUGGACACCGGGCGAGAGACUGCUCCAGCAGUGCCGGGUGAGUGAUGAAGGCGUUAGGGUUGUAAAGCUCUUUUACACGGGAUGAUAAUGACAGUACCGGGAGAAUAAGCUACGGCUAACUACGUG